rnacentral:rRNA from 1 species
UACAGAGGUCUCAACCGUUGUUCGGAUUCAUUGGGCGUAAAGGGUGCGUAGGCGGUCGGGUAAGUCGGAUGUGAAAUCUCAGGGCUCAACCCUGAAACUGCAUUCGAUACUGCCUGGCUAGGGUACUGGAGAGGAGACUGGAAUUUACGGUGUAGCAGUGAAAUGCGUAGAUAUCGUAAGGAAGACCAGUGGCGAAGGCGAGUCUCUGGACAGUUACCGACGCUGAGGCACGAAGGUCAGGGGAGCAAAACGGG